rnacentral:rRNA from 1 species
GAUGAACGCUGGCGGCGUGCCUAAUACAUGCGAGUCGAGCGAACAGACGAGGAGCUUGCUCCUCUGACGUUAGCGGCGGACGGGUGAGUAACACGUGGAUAACCUACCUAUAAGACUGGGAUAACUUCGGGAAACCGGAGCUAAUACCGGAUAAUAUAUUGAACCGCAUGGUUCAAUAGUGAAAGACGGUUUUGCUGUCACUUAUAGAUGGAUCCGCGCCGCAUUAGCUAGUUGGUAAGGUAACGGCUUACCAAGGCAACGAUGCGUAGCCGACCUGAGAGGGUGAUCGGCCACACUGGAACUGAGACACGGUCCAGACUCCUACGGGAGGCAGCAGUAGGGAAUCUUCCGCAAUGGGCGAAAGCCUGACGGAGCAACGCCGCGUGAGUGAUGAAGGUCUUCGGUUCGUAAAACUCUGUUAUUAGGGAAGAACAAAUGUGUAAGUAACUAUGCACGUCUUGACGGUACCUAAUCAGAAAGCCACGGCUAACUACGUG